rnacentral:rRNA from 1 species
AUGGCUGUCGUCAGCUCGUGUCGUGAGAUGUUGGGUUAAGUCCCGCAACGAGCGCAACCCUUGCCAUUAGUUGCUACAUUCAGUUGAGCACUCUAAUGGGACUGCCGGUGACAAACCGGAGGAAGGUGGGGAUGACGUCAAGUCCUCAUGGCCCUUAUAGGUGGGGCUACACACGUCAUACAAUGGCUGGUACAAAGGGUUGCCAACCCGCGAGGGGGAGCUAAUCCCAUAAAGCCAGUCGUAGUCCGGAUCGCAGUCUGCAACUCGACUGCGUGAAGUCGGAAUCGCUAGUAAUCGUGAUCAGAA